AUUGAACGCUGGCGGCAGGCCUAACACAUGCAAGUCGAGCGGAUGAAGGGAGCUUGCUCCUGGAUUCAGCGGCGGACGGGUGAGUAAUGCCUAGGAAUCUGCCUGGUAGUGGGGGAUAACGUCCGGAAACGGGCGCUAAUACCGCAUACGUCCUGAGGGAGAAAGUGGGGGAUCUUCGGACCUCACGCUAUCAGAUGAGCCUAGGUCGGAUUAGCUAGUUGGUGGGGUAAAGGCCUACCAAGGCGACGAUCCGUAACUGGUCUGAGAGGAUGAUCAGUCACACUGGAACUGAGACACGGUCCAGACUCCUACGGGAGGCAGCAGUGGGGAAUAUUGGACAAUGGGCGAAAGCCUGAUCCAGCCAUGCCGCGUGUGUGAAGAAGGUCUUCGGAUUGUAAAGCACUGUAAGUUGGGAGGAAGGGCAGUAAGUUAAUACCUGGCUGUUUUGACGGUACCAACAGAAUAAGCACCGGCUAACUUCGUG
rnacentral:rRNA from 1 species